CACGAGUCGUGACGCGCUACACGAAAUCAGAGUAAUCUGAUUGUUAGCCGCCGGGAGCCUAUUAAUACCCAACACGAGGUCGCUGGACACUCGCAAUUAAGAGAAACUACGCAACUUUCCGCAGCAGUAGCAGACCUCUGAGCCCGAUUACAAGUCCCCAACUAUUGUCAGAUCAUCAGGACUUUGGUUGAGACCAGAUAAUUGAGACCCAGAUUACAGAGAGACGUUACCAAUGACUUGUGAAGUUUAUUACCAACAUCGUCAAGAUUACCCAUUUAUUUAAAUGGACAAAUGUUAUCCGUCAUCUGCUUUAUUCUCUUUACUUUGUUGAUGAUGGAGAAAGAGUCGUACACUCAGUUAAACCUGCAGACCGGCCGGCCAGCUUGCAUGUCCUUCACGCUUGAAGGUCGCGGGGAACAUUACGUGUAAAACUGACAAUGCGGUAGUGUAGAGGUUGGGUGAGAACUGGACGUUUUGCAUCAUUAUCAAGCAGUAACGUCAACCUGCAGUUAAGUAAAGGCAGUCCGCAUGUCCUUACACUUUCGAAGGUCACGGAGAUCAUUACGUAAAACGUGUCAUGGAAUGGUGUAGAGGUUGGGUGAGAAAGGGACGUGUUUCAUCAUUAUCAAGCAGAGAUACAAUACCCGCAAGGCCUAAGAGGUGAGGGUGAUAAAAAUAUCGUAUAAAAAGGAGAGAGAAAAGGCCAGAGACAUCAGUAGAGUGAGCAUCACCGACACGGCGACAACUGCAGUGCACUACCUGUAGCAACUACCUACUUCAUCGCAUUACCAGUUUGCAACAAUGGUUAACCAUAUCGUCGUGCUGCUGUUGGGUGUUGUAUCGUUCGUUGAUGGCUGGGUCGAACACUGGUGUACUGAUGUCUUCCGAGCAUGGUGGAUAUGAAAUCACAACGCCGUCGCCUUACUACACAACAGCAACUUAGGCAACAGUCAGUUACUACACCGACGUCCCGAAGUAAUGCUCUGCCCCGAGCUACACCACCAAGGUACCGGAGUACUACACGAGACUACGUAUGCUGACACAAUACUACACCGAGGUAGUACACCGAAGUUCCAGCUUAUUACACCACCGAAGCGCCAGUACUACACUGCAACCUACGCUGCCCCAGUUUACGCCACGAAGGUAACGGAGUACUACAUCACAACCUACCCUGCCCCAUCUUACUGCACCGCUUCGAGCUACACAACCACAACCGAGGUGACCAAGUAUUUCUACACAGUGGCUGCCUUUUGUACUAAUUUUCUACACCACAACCUACGGUACACCUUUCUACUACACCGAAGUCCCUAAAGUAGCUACUACUAAGCUUAAAGUACUACACUAUCAAAGUACCUGAAUAUUAUACCACCACAUAUGCUACUCUGACCUACUACACUGAAGCUUUGAAGUUUAAGUUGCACAUGCAGAAAUACUUCAGAACACUAAAAGGGAUUAACUUUUUUAUCCUUAGAUUACAUGGGACUGUUUCUGAUAGCUCUUUUGAUGGUACGGGCACGUGAUCCCUGUCAUAAAGAAUACGAGUUAGUGAAUAAAAGAAUUUCAAGUUAAUUUGUUUUUCACACAGCAUUUCCGUAAAACGUAAAAAGUAUCAUUCAGUGGUGUAGAGGGUGGGUGAGA
rnacentral:lncRNA from 1 species